GAAGGUGUGCUGUGAGGCAUGCUGGAGGUAUCAGAAGUGCGAAUGCUGACAUAAGUAACGAUAAAGCGGGUGAAAAGCCCGCUCGCCGGAAGACCAAGGGUUCCUGUCCAACGUUAAUCGGGGCAGGGUGAGUCGACCCCUAAGGCGAGGCCGAAAGGCGUAGUCGAUGGGAAACAGGUUAAUAUUCCUGUACUUGGUGUUACUGCGAAGGGGGGACGGAGAAGGCUAUGUUGGCCGGGCGACGGUUGUCCCGGUUUAAGCGUGUAGGCUGGUUUUCCAGGCAAAUCCGGAAAAUCAAGGCUGAGGCGUGAUGACGAGGCACUACGGUGCUGAAGCAACAAAUGCCCUGCUUCCAGGAAAAGCCUCUAAGCAUCAGGUAACAUCAAAUCGUACCCCAAACCGACACAGGUGGUCAGGUAGAGAAUACCAAGGCGCUUGAGAGAACUCGGGUGAAGGAACUAGGCAAAAUGGUGCCGUAACUUCGGGAGAAGGCACGCUGAUAUGUAGGUGAAGUCCCUCGCGGAUGGAGCUGAAAUCAGUCGAAGAUACCAGCUGGCUGCAACUGUUUAUUAAAAACACAGCACUGUGCAAACACGAAAGUGGACGUAUACGGUGUGACGCCUGCCCGGUGCCGGAAGGUUAAUUGAUGGGGUUAGCCGCAAGGCGAAGCUCUUGAUCGAAGCCCCGGUAAACGGCGGCCGUAACUAUAACGGUCCUAAGGUAGCGAAAUUCCUUGUCGGGUAAGUUCCGACCUGCACGAAUGGCGUAAUGAUGGCCAGGCUGUCUCCACCCGAGACUCAGUGAAAUUGAACUCGCUGUGAAGAUGCAGUGUACCCGCGGCAAGACGGAAAGACCCCGUGAACCUUUACUAUAGCUUGACACUGAACAUUGAGCCUUGAUGUGUAGGAUAGGUGGGAGGCUUAGAAGUGUGGACGCCAGUCUGCAUGGAGCCGACCUUGAAAUACCACCCUUUAAUGUUUGAUGUUCUAACGUUGACCCGUAAUCCGGGUUGCGGACAGUGUCUGGUGGGUAGUUUGACUGGGGCGGUCUCCUCCUAAAGAGUAACGGAGGAGCACGAAGGUUGGCUAAUCCUGGUCGGACAUCAGGAGGUUAGUGCAAUGGCAUAAGCCAGCUUGACUGCGAGCGUGACGGCGCGAGCAGGUGCGAAAGCAGGUCAUAGUGAUCCGGUGGUUCUGAAUGGAAGGGCCAUCGCUCAACGGAUAAAAGGUACUCCGGGGAUAACAGGCUGAUACCGCCCAAGAGUUCAUAUCGACGGCGGUGUUUGGCACCUCGAUGUCGGCUCAUCACAUCCUGGGGCUGAAGUAGGUCCCAAGGGUAUGGCUGUUCGCCAUUUAAAGUGGUACGCGAGCUGGGUUUAGAACGUCGUGAGACAGUUCGGUCCCUAUCUGCCGUGGGCGCUGGAGAACUGAGGGGGGCUGCUCCUAGUACGAGAGGACCGGAGUGGACGCAUCACUGGUGUUCGGGUUGUCAUGCCAAUGGCACUGCCCGGUAGCUAAAUGCGGAAGAGAUAAGUGCUGAAAGCAUCUAAGCACGAAACUUGCCCCGAGAUGAGUUCUCCCUGA
rnacentral:rRNA from 1 species